GAAAAUUUGCAGCUCAGUUGUAGAGCAUCUGAUUUGCAUACAGAUGGCCCCAGGUUCCAUCCCCAGCAUCUUCA